GCAGCAGUAGCUUAACAGGUAAAGCCUCGGGGAGGCAACCCCCGAAGAAAAGCCGUUCAACUCGGCGUGGAUAGCGGUGCUCCUAAUAUGCAGGUUCGACCCCUGCCUGCUGCA
rnacentral:tRNA from 1 species